rnacentral:rRNA from 1 species
CUGAGUGGCGGACGGGUGAGUAACGCGUGAGUAACCUGCCUCAAAGAGGGGGAUAACGUCUGGAAACGGACGCUAAUACCGCAUGACAUAUCGUUAUGGCAUCAUGAUGAUAUCAAAGGAGCAAUCCGCUUUGAGAUGGACUCGCGUCCAAUUAGCUAGUUGGUGAGGUAACGGCCCACCAAGGCGACGAUUGGUAGCCGGACUGAGAGGUUGAA